rnacentral:rRNA from 1 species
CCCUUCACUACGGAAUAGUCCCGGGAAACUGGGUUUAAUACCGUAUACGCCCUUCGGGGGAAAGAAUUUCGGUGAGGGAUCGGCCCGCGUUAGAUUAGUUAGUUGGUGGGGUAAUGGCCUACCAAGACUACGAUCUAUAGCUGGUUUGAGAGGAUGAUCAGCAACACUGGGACUGAGACACGGCCCAGACUCCUACGGGAGGCAGCAGUGGGGAAUCUUAGACAAUGGGGGCAACCCUGAUCUAGCGAUGCCGCGUGAGUGAUGAAGGCCUUAGGGUCGUAAAGCUCUUUCGCCUGUGAUGAUAAUGACAGUAGCAGGUAAAGAAACCCCGGCUAACUCCGUGCCAGCAGCCGCGGUAAUACGGAGGGGGUUAGCGUUGUUCGGAAUUACUGGGCGUAAAGCGCACGUAGGCGGAUUAGUCAGUCAGAGGUGAAAUCCCAGGGCUCAACCCUGGAACUGCCUUUGAUACUGCUAGUCUUGAGUUCGAGAGAGGUAAGUGGAAUUCCGAGUGUAGAGGUGAAAUUCGUAGAUAUUCGGAGGAACACCAGUGGCGAAGGCGGCUUACUGGCUCGAUACUGACGCUGAGGUGCGAAAGUGUGGGGAGCAAACAGGAUUAGAUACCCUGG